rnacentral:rRNA from 1 species
UACAGAGGUCUCAAGCGUUGUUCGGAUUCAUUGGGCGUAAAGGGUGUGUAGGUGGCGCCGUAAGUCGGGUGUGAAAUUUCGGAGCUUAAACUCCGGAAACUGCAUUCGAUACUGCGGUGCUUGAGGACUGGAGAGGAGACUGGAAUUCAUGGUGUAGCAGUGAAAUGCGUAGAGAUCAAUGAGGAAGACCAGUGGCGAAGGCGGGGU